AACGGCGUAGACGUGCGAGCAGACAAGGAGAGCACAAAUAUUUCAGUUGUUAUUUUUCUGAUCGACUGUUUCACAAAUUGAACUACUCGAAGUCUGUGUUUUACGUGGAAGGAACGUCUCUCGCACCAGUCUCAAGCCAACAGUACGAAUAAAGUCUAUAUAAAAAGUAUAAGCUAAAUAUAAAAGUUCUCUAUCCAACAACCUUCAGUUGUAGUAGUUAAAAAUAAAGGUAACAAAACAAAAUAAAAUAUAAAUUUUAAAACGGAAA